CAGUCGCCGCGGUAAUACGGAGGGUGCAAGCGUUAAUCGGAAUUACUGGGCGUAAAGCGUGCGUAGGCGGUUCGUUAAGUCUGUUAUGAAAGCCCCGGGCUCAACCUGGGAAUGGCAAUGGAUACUGGCGAGCUAGAGUGUGUCAGAGGAUGGUGGAAUUCCCGGUGUAGCGGUGAAAUGCGUAGAGAUCGGGAGGAACAUCAGUGGCGAAGGCGGCCAUCUGGGACAACACUGACGCUGAGGCACGAAAGCGUGGGGAGCAAACAGGAUUAGAUACCCCGGUAGUCCCUGUCUCUUAUAC
rnacentral:rRNA from 1 species